UCUGGUUGAUCCUGCCGGACCUGACUGCUAUCGGAUUGAUACUAAGCCAUGCGAGUCAUUGUAGCAAUACAAGGCAGACGGCUCAGUAACGCGUAGUCAACCUAACCUAUGGACGGGAAUAACCUCGGGAAACUGAGAAUAAUGCCCGAUAGAACACUAUACCUGGAAUGGUUUGUGUUCCAAAUGAUUUAUCGCCGUAGGAUGGGACUGCGGCCUAUCAGUUUGUUGGUGAGGUAAUGGCCCACCAAGACUAUUACAGGUACGGGCUCUGAGAGGAGUAGCCCGGAGAUGGGUACUGAGACACGGACCCAGGCCCUAUGGGGCGCAGCAGGCGAGAAAACUUUGCAAUGUGCGAAAGCACGACAAGGUUAAUCCGAGUGGUUUCUGCUAAAGGAACCUUUUGUUAGUCCUAGAAACACUAACGAAUAAGGGGUGGGCAAGUUCUGGUGUCAGCCGCCGCGGUAAAACCAGCACCUCAAGUGGUCAGGAUGAUUAUUGGGCCUAAAGCAUCCGUAGCCGGCUCUGUAAGUUUUCGGUUAAAUCUGUACGCUCAACGUACAGGCUGCCGGGAAUACUGCAGAGCUAGGGAGUGGGAGAGGUAGACGGUACUCGGUAGGAAGGGGUAAAAUCCUUUGAUCUAUUGAUGACCACCUGUGGCGAAGGCGGUCUACCAGAACACGUCCGACGGUGAGGGAUGAAAGCUGGGGGAGCAAACCGGAUUAGAUACCCGGGUAGUCCCAGCUGUAAACUAUGCAAACUCAGUGAUGCAUUGGCUUGUGGCCAAUGCAGUGCUGCAGGGAAGCCGUUAAGUUUGCCGCCUGGGAAGUACGUACGCAAGUAUGAAACUUAAAGGAAUUGGCGGGGGAGCACCACAAGGGGUGAAGCCUGCGGUUCAAUUGGACUCAACGCCGGGA
rnacentral:rRNA from 1 species